rnacentral:rRNA from 1 species
CGCCUUAUACUCCUACGGGAGGCAGCAGUGGGGAAUUUUGGACAAUGGGCGCAAGCCUGAUCCAGCCAUGCCGCGUGAGUGAAGAAGGCCUUCGGGUUGUAAAGCUCUUUCGGCCGGGAAGAAAUCGUUGUCUCUAACAUAGGCCAUGGAUGACGGUACCGGACUAAGAAGCACCGGCUAACUACGUGCCAGCAGCCGCGGUAAUACGUAGGGUGCGAGCGUUAAUCGGAAUUACUGGGCGUAAAGCGUGCGCAGGCGGUUUUGUAAGACAGAUGUGAAAUCCCCGGGCUUAACCUGGGAACUGCGUUUGUGACUGCAAGGCUAGAGUACGGCAGAGGGGGGUGGAAUUCCUGGUGUAGCAGUGAAAUGCGUAGAUAUCAGGAGGAACACCGAUGGCGAAGGCAGCCCCCUGGGCCUGUACUGACGCUCAUGCACGAAAGCGUGGGGAGCAAACAGGAUUAGAUCCCGAGUAGUCCACGUACCA